GACGAACGCUGGCGGCGUGCUUAACACAUGCAAGUCGAACGGAAAGGCCCUGCUUUUGUUGGGUGCUCGAGUGGCGAACGGGUGAGUAACACGUGAGUAUCCUGUCCUUGACUUUGGGAUAACUUCAGGAAACUGGGGCUAAUACCGGAUAGGAGCUCCUGCUGCAUGGUGUGGGUUGGAAAUUUUCGGCGGUUGGGGAUGGACUCGCGGCUUAUCAGCUUGUUGGUGGGGUAGUGGCUUACCAAGGCUUUGACGGGUAGCCGGCCUGAGAGGGUGACCGGCCACAUUGGGACUGAGAUACAGCCCAGACUCCUACGGGAGGCAGCAGUGGGGAAUAUUGCACAAUGGGCGGAAGCCUGAUGCAGCAAAGCCGCGUGCGGGAUGACGGCAUUCGGGUUGUAAACCGCUUUCGCCUGUGACGAAGCGUGAGUGACGGUAAUGGGUAAAGAAGCACCGGCUAAAUACGUG
rnacentral:rRNA from 1 species